AUUCGAAAAAAAUAACAUUUGAAGACAUUUUCUAUUUGUAAAAUGUGGUACAAUAUGAGAAAAAUCCAUACACUUAAACACAAGUUAUUGCCUGAAAAUUAAAAAAAUGCUUGUUUUAGACUCUUUUUGGCCCUUAAUUCCUGAACGGUUUGGGCAACUACCCCCCAAAUGAAUCCCAACCUUCUACUUGUGGUAUUGAACCUUGUGGUACACUUGUGGUACAAUUUCAGAGCAAUCACAAUACUUAUACACAAGUUAUUGUCCUGCAACUAGAAUAAACUGCUUCGCUGAGCGCAGCUGGAUACGCCCGCAGAGGUCCAACCCUGAACAGUUGGGGCAAAAAUGGACACAAUAUUCAAGCUUGAUACAGGUCUGAAUUUGGAUUGUAAUUAAAUAUUUGACACAUAAUAGGUUUCUAACACAAAAUAACUGUAGUCAAAGAACUUAGAAUUGGUUAUAUGAUUUGAAUUUAUAUUCAAUUUUUUGCUUUUG